rnacentral:rRNA from 1 species
UACGGGGGGAGCAAGCGUUGUUCGGAUUUACUGGGCGUAAAGGGCGCGUAGGCGGCCUCUGCAAGCCGCCUGUGAAAUCUCCGGGCUUAACCCGGAACGGUCAGCCGAUACUGCAGGGCUAGAGUGCAGAAGGGGCAACCGGAAUUCUCGGUGUAGCGGUGAAAUGCGUAGAUAUCGAGAGGAACACCUGCGGCGAAGGCGGGUUGCUGGGCUGACACUGACGCUGAGGCGCGAAAGCUAGGGGAGCGAACGGG